UCGAGGCACAAUAACGUUGUUUAGAUUUUCUAUUCUUUUUUCUUUUUUUUUUUUUUUUUUUUCGAAAAUAUACACUCUCUCUCUUUCUCCUGUUUCGUAUUAAAACAUCGUUGAAAUGCAACUAAAAAAAUGCGGUCGUUACUGUUUCGUUAGUAUGUAUUCGUGAAUGAUGAUAAGGCACGAUUAAAUUUAAAACCGUUUCCGCCCACAUUUUCAUAAUGAAAAAUAAAAACAACGUGUUUCCAUUAUACAGUUAUAAUAGUGGAGUUAUAAAUCGAUGCAACUGACAGCUGACUGAAAAAAAAAGUUUAUUAUAGACCUUUUCUAUAUAGAUUAAAAUCUAUUGUUACAAAUUAUGGACCAAAAGUUUCUAGAUAUUUACAUUUUCAAAUAUUUUCAAAACAAAUUUCUGAAGAGUUUUCUUUCGAUACGUUUCAAGGAGAAAGAAAAAAUACAUUUUCUUUUAUUCCAAGGAUUGUGUUUACAUUGAUACACUGAAUGGACGACAGAUAAUCGAAAAUAUAAACAAAUCAAUCUUAUGAAUUGGAGGAGCUUCGGAACAUCGAUUAUUCUUGGAAAGGUCGUAUUUGUCGAUAUAUGUCGAUAUUUUCGAUGAUAAAAAGUCAACGAGAUUUCUUUGAAAGAUUUACGAUCUAUUAACUUCUCACAUAUAUUGAAGAAUAUAUAUAUAUAUAUAUAUAUAUAUAUAUAUAUGUUUCUUUAAUUUAAAAGCAGAUUAAAAGAAAAGAAAGAAAGAAGAGAGAAAACGUCAAUAGAAAAUGAAUUUGAAGAUUUGAAAAUGUCGACAAAAUUUCUAACUCUGUACGAAGCAUGAAUCUUACGCGGUCGGCUAAGCGUAUGCAUUAUUUUUAGAAUUCACGCUCUGCGUUUAACGCAUGCACGUGGAUACAGCGUUUGUACAACGUUAUGGAGAAGAAGAAUAAGAGGAAUAAGAAUAAGAAUAAGAAGAAAAAGAAAACGAUAAAGAGAAAUAAGAAGAGGAAGAAGAAGAAGAAGAAGGAGAAGAAGAAACAGUAAAAUAUAAGAAAAAUAACAGAAAAGAGACGAAUUGGGUAUACAUCUACUUAUGUAUGCGUUGACUUAACGAUAAGAAAGAAUGAAUACGAAAUACGAUAUCCCGAAUCUUAUAUACUUAUUCAGAUUUAUUCCAAAAAGAAAAAAAGGAGAAAGAAAAAAAAAGAAUGAAAAAAAAAAAAACAAAAAAUCAAUUAGCAUACGAGCAAAAAAGAGAAUUACCACGACAAUACAAUGGGGAGAAUCGAAUUUGACGCAACUACUUGUCGCCGUGCAAUAAACAAAUUUAUUCUGAUAUUGAUCGAUCGACCCUCCUUUUAAGAAGCGAAAGAAAGGAGAAAAAGGAAAAGAAAAAUAAAAAACAACGGCUUGAUUAUGCGCCAAGCGAGACUAUCUCAAUAUGCUAUCUAUCGGUUCAUUUCCAAAUACAGCACGUCCACAUCAAUCGAAUUGAUUAUGGAAUAGUACAUACGUCAAUGAUGAGAUGUUCUUCUGUUUUGUAAUCGUGCGCACGUAGAACAAAACGAUUCGUUUUUUUUUUUUAAUGAGUCUACGAAAUUGUUAAUCAAUGUAAGAAUCAACCAAGUUGAAUGUAUAUUGUUUAUAUUUACGAGUGUCGAGUAGUGGUCGACAAUGUACAUGUCAAGUAACGGUCGAUAAUGUGCAUGUCGAGUAGCGGUCGACAAUGUGCAUGUCGAGUAGCGGUCGAUAAUGUGCAUGUCGAGUAGCGGUCGACAAUGUGCAUGUUAAGUAGCGGUCGACAAUAUGCAUGUUGAGUAGCAAUCAACAAAAUACAUGUCGAGUAGCGGUCGACAAUGUGCAUGUUAAGUAGCGCUCGACAAUGUGCAUGUCGCGUAGUGGUCGACAAUGUGCAUGUCGCGUAGCGGUCGACAAUGUGCAUGUCGCGUAGCGGUCGAUAAUGUGCAUGUCGCGUAGCGGUUGACAAUGUGCAUGUCGCGUAGCGGUCGACAAUGUGCAUGUCGCGUAGCGGUCGACAAUGUGCAUAUCGCGUAGCGGUCGAUAAUGUGCAUGUCGCGUAGCAGUCGACAAUGUGCAUGUUAAGUAACGGUCGACAAUGUGCAUGUCGAGUAGCGGUCGACAAUGUGCAUGUCGAGUAGUGGUCGACAAAAUACAUGUCGAGUAGCGGUCGACAAAAUACACGUCGAGUAGCGGUCGACAAUGUGCAUGUUAAGUAGCGGUCGACAAUGUGCAUGUCGAAUAGUGGUUGACAAUGUACAUGUCGAGCCACACUCGACAAUCUUUGAUCAAUUACAUCGUAGACUCUUGACACAUUGACGAAUUAUUUUCUAGACUUUUUUCUUUCUAAACUUUUUUCGUAUAUUACUAAUAAUGCAUUAAUCCUUAUUAAAAAAAAAAAAGAUUUUCAAAAUAAUUUUAUUAAUUAAAUUAUAUAAUACAGGAUGGAUCAAAAGUUCCUAAGUUAUUGUACAAAAGAAAAAAAAACAAAAUCGACUACUCUUCUUUGAAACUUUUAUCAAACCUCGUAGUUACGUUUGUAUAAUAGAUAAUUUUAUAAUCUAAAAGAUAAAAAAAAUUCAGAAAAUUUGCCUAACCAGUUUUGAAGAAGAGUAUAACUGAUUUUUAAAAUUGCUUGAAAAAUUUUUGCAUAACUUAUGAAAGCGUAGGAACUUGCAUUUUUUAAGAGAAAGGUGCUUCCAUAAACCUCUUGAUAGUUUGACCUUAAAUUCGAACUUGUUCUCUCUUUCUCUCUCUCUCUCUCUCUCUUUCUCAUAUCAUCAGUAUAGUUUUUCGUUCUCUUUGCUUUUUCAAUUCUUUCGUUUUCUUACUUUUUCAAAUCAAGACCGUAAUACAUUACGAACAAAUCGGAACAUUUAGUAUAGCAAUCGACAUUUCAAUACAUCGAUAGGAUUGGCCCGAUUUUUCAACGCUCUUCUUUCCAUUCAAUAAUAAUUAUUCUUAAUCAUCGAGAGAAAUGAGGCGAUCGACUUUAAAUUAAUCAGAGCAUAGACCGGUAUUUCCUGUUUUGCAAUUGUGCUUCCUUCUUUUUAAAGAGUG